GAAAGUUACUUCGGUACAUCGGUGACAGGUGGUGCGAUGGUUGUCGGUCAGCUCGUGUCGUGAGAUGUUGGGUUAAGUCCCGCAACGAGCGCAACCCCUAUUGUUAGUUGCCAUCAUUCAGUUGGGCACUCUAGCGAGACUGCCGGUAAUAAACCGGAGGAAGGUGGGGAUGACGUCAAAUCAUCAUGCCCCUUAUGACCUGGGCUACACACGUGCUACAAUGGUUGGUACAACGAGUUGCGAGUCGGUGACGGCGAGCUAAUCUCUUAAAGCCAAUCUCAGUUCGGAUUGUAGGCUGCAACUCGCCUACAUGAAGUCGGAAUCGCUAGUAAUCGCGGAUCAGCACGCCGCGGUCGAAUACGUUCCCGGGCCUU
rnacentral:rRNA from 1 species